AUAUGAGUUUGAUCCUGGCUCAGGGUGAACGCUAGUAGUAUGCUUUACACAUGCGAGUUUAACGGAAUAAUUUUUUUUCGUGGCGGACGGGUGAGGAAAAUGCAGUAAUUUUGCCUUUUAAUUUAUGAUAAAACAUAUUCAAAAGAUUACAAGUUCUUUUUGAAUAAAAAUGUUAAAGUUUUUGUUAAUAAUAAAUAAAAAUAAAGAUUGUUUAAAAAUAAUCGUUAAAAGAUAAAGCUGCGUAAGAUUAGGUAGUUGUUAAUUUAAAAGACUAACAAGCCUGCGAUCUUUAGUUGAUCUUAGAGGAUGAUCAACCACACUGGAACUGAGACAAGGUCCAGGCUAAAAUUUUUGGCCAGCAGUGAGGAAUAUUGGACAAUGAACGAAAGUUUGAUCCAGCAAUACUAUCUGAAUGAUGGACGGCUAUUUAGUUGUAAAAUUCUUUCGUUAAAGAUGAUAAUGACAUUAUUUAAAGAAGUAAGUCCCGGCUAAUCUCGUGCCAGCAGCCGCGGUAAUACGGGAGGGGCGAGCGUUAUCCGUAAUGACUGGGCGUAAAGGGUUCGUAGACUGUAAAGUAAGUUAUUUGUCAAAUCUUAAAGCUUAACUUUAAAAAAACACUUAAUACUGCUUUACUUGAGUUUUUUACAGAAGAGUAGAAUUUUAUAUGUAGGGUUAAACUCCAUAAAUAUAUAAAGGAAUACCAUUAGCGAAGGCGUCUCUUUAGUAAAAACUGACGUUGAGGGACGAAAGUGUAGGUAGCAAACAGGAUUAGAUACCCUGGUAGUCUACACUGUAAAUUCUGAGUGCUGUAAUUUGAUUUAAUAAAAUUGGAUUUUAUAAGCUAACGCCAUAAGCACUCCGCCUGAGGAGUACGAUCGCAAGAUUGGAACUCAAAGGAAUUGACGGGGGCCUACAACGAGUGGUGGAGCAUGUGGUUUAAUGCGAUAAUCCGCGCAAAACCUUACCAAUCCUUGAAUAAAAUAAAUUUAUUUAAAUUUUACAUUUGUUUAUUUUAAAUUAUAAUUUUACAGGUGUUGCACGACUGUCGUCAGCUCGUGUCGUGAG
rnacentral:rRNA from 1 species